rnacentral:rRNA from 1 species
AUGGUACCGGGCAGCUCACCUUCCAAACUGUUGGUGUUGAGGUCCAAGACUUGCAACGCCGUCAUGUUGCCGAUCUCCAGAGGGAUCGUGCCGGUGAGCUGGUUGAAGAAGAGCGCCAACCUCAUGAGCUGCUUGAGGUUGCCGAACGAGCUGGGGAUCGGUCCCGUGAGAGAGUUCACCGACAAAUCCAGUUGUUCUAGGCUCACCAGCUCUCCCAGCUCUGCAGGGAUAGAGCCAACAAGGUUGUUGCUGAAGAGGUACAAGAAUUUCAGCUUGGUUGCCUUGCCGAGCUCCGGUGGAAUCUUCCCUGAAAAUGAGUUGUUCUGCACUUGGAAUGAUAUGAGCUUUGGCCAGUCCGUGAACAAAACCUGCGGAAUCCGACCAACGAGUCUGUUUGACGCUAUGUUGAACUCACACAUUUGGUGCAUCCCGGCCAACCCUGGUGGCAGAACACUUGUGAGCUGGUUCAUGGACAGGUCCAUGAAAUUGACAUUGCCAAGAUUGCCCAACUCCUGUGGAAUAAUAGAAACCAAUCCGGCGUUCCCGAUGUCAAGGUGCUGUAGCUUUUCGAGCUGGCCAAGAAUGGCCGGGAUCGAUCCACCAAGUUGGUUGCUGUGGAGUUCGAGAGCUCUCAGCUCGGACAUCGACCCAAGGAACUCGGGGACUCCGCCAGUCAGAUUGUUAUUGCCAACCCGCAAGUCCUGGAGCUUACCCAGCUUUGACAGCGACGCUGGUAUCCGGCCCGAGAGGGCAUUGACGGACAGGUUGAGGUACAUGAGGCUGGGGAGGCUCUCCGAAAGCGAGUCCGGUAUCGGGCCGGAGAGAAUGUUCUGUGAAAGGUCCAGUGAGACGGCGCGGAAGCUUCAAGACCGUUUUGGCGCAGAGUGGUGGUUUGUUUGGUGGCAUGCUCCGGAUCGCCCGAGGUGA